UGUUUAACAAAUAAUAUUGUUUCAAGUAAAUGAUGGAUUAUUUGUGGUGUAGAAUGAGAUCUUUUGCAAUAACAUGUAUUGAUGGCUUGAUUAUUUUUAGUUCAGUCAUGGAAAAAUGCCUGAAACAUUUGGAGACUGUUGUUGAAGCAAUUCAGAAAACUCGCUUAAAGAGCAUGAACUUUAGACAACUUGUAAGUGUAUUCUCAAUAUCUUUGAAAGGACUUUGUUUGAAGAAUUAUAUUAUCAUAUAGUAUGCCCCCACCCCAUACCACCUGAAGAAACUGUAUCAGUCUAUCAUCACAGG